rnacentral:misc_RNA from 1 species
CAACUCCAGAACUGUGUUACAAACCACUCGCUGGGAAUCACAGUGGCAGGAGGUAAAUUGGUGUUUGUUAAUUCCAAUAGCAAGGAGGAGGUUCAAGAAGCUCAUGAGAACCAUGCUAAGAUAACAGUUAUAUGAUAUGAUAUUGGAGUUCAUUAUCUCACAAUACACAGGUUGAUUUUUAUCUGUAUCGGACGAAACAAGCUUUUCAGGG